UACGUAGGGUCCGAGCGUUGUCCGGAAUUAUUGGGCGUAAAGAGCUCGUAGGCGGUCUGUCUCUUCGAAUGUGAAAACCCGGGGCUCAACCCCGGGCCUGCAUUCGAUACGGGCAGACUAGAGUUCGGUAGGGGAGUCUGGAAUUCCUGGUGUAGCGGUGAAAUGCGCAGAUAUCAGGAGGAACACCGAUGGCGAAGGCAGGUCUCUGGGCCGAUAUUGACGCUGAGGAGCGAAAGCGUGGGGAGCGAACAGG
rnacentral:rRNA from 1 species